UACGGAGGGGGCUAGCGUUGUUCGGAAUUACUGGGCGUAAAGCGCGCGUAGGCGGCUUUGUAAGUUAGAGGUGAAAGCCCGGAGCUCAACUCCGGAAUUGCCUUUAAGACUGCAUCGCUAGAAUCGUGGAGAGGUGAGUGGAAUUCCGAGUGUAGAGGUGGAAUUCGUAGAUAUUCGGAAGAACACCAGUGGCGAAGGCGACUCACUGGACACGUAUUGACGCUGAGGUGCGAAAGCGUGGGGAGCAAACAGG
rnacentral:rRNA from 1 species